UCUUCAUUUCAUGUGCUAUCUCAUUGGUCAGAGAGGCGAGAGAGUGUGCGAAAUGAAGAGA
rnacentral:pre_miRNA from 1 species